rnacentral:rRNA from 1 species
GAUGAACGCUAGCGGCAGGCCUAACACAUGCAAGUCGAGGGGUAACAGGAGGAAGCUUGCUUUCUUGCUGACGACCGGCGCACGGGUGCGUGACGCGUAUAGAACCUACCUUUUACAGAGGGAUAGUCCGAAGAAAUUUGGCAUAAUACCUCAUAGUAUUAUCGAUUGGCAUCGAUUGAUAAUUAAAGAUUUAUCGGUAAAAGAUGGCUAUGCGUCCUAUUAGCUAGUUGGUACGGUAACGGCGUACCAAGGCAACGAUAGGUAGGGGUUCUGAGAGGGAUAUCCCCCACACUGGUACUGAGACACGGACCAGACUCCUACGGGAGGCAGCAGUGAGGAAUAUUGGACAAUGGUGGCAACACUGAUCCAGCCAUGCCGCGUGCAGGAAGACGGCCUUAUGGGUUGUAAACUGCUUUUAUAUGGGAAGAACCGCAGGUACGCGUACCUGUCUGACGGUACCAUAUGAAUAAGCACCGGCUAACUCCGUGCCAGCAGCCGCGGUAAUACGGAGGGUGCAAGCGUUAUCCGGAAUCAUUGGGUUUAAAGGGUCCGUAGGCGGGUUAAUAAGUCAGGGGUGAAAUCUCACAGCUCAACUGUGAAACUGCCUUUGAUACUGUUAGCCUUGAAUGAUAUGGAAGUAGAUAGAAUGUGUAGUGUAGCGGUGAAAUGCAUAGAUAUUACACAGAAUACCGAUUGCGAAGGCAGUCUACUACGUAUUUAUUGACGCUAAUGGACGAAAGCGUGGGGAGCGAACAGG